rnacentral:rRNA from 1 species
GACGAACGCUGGCGGCGUGCUUAACACAUGCAAGUCGAGCGGUAAGGCCCUUUCGGGGGUACACGAGCGGCGAACGGGUGAGUAACACGUGGGUGACCUGCCCUCAGCUCUGGGACUAAGCCUGGGAAACCGGGUCUAAAUACUGGAUAUGACUCCAUGACGCAUGUUGUGGGGUGGAAAAGCCUUGUGCGGCUGAGGAUGGGCCCGCGGCCUAUCAGCUUGUUGGUGGGGUGANGGCCUACCAAGGCGACGACGGGUAGCCGGCCUGAGAGGGCGACCGGCCACACUGGGACUGAGACACGG